UAUUUUCUUGGAAGGUGCACUUUUUGUCGCGCGCCUGAAACUAUUUUUGGCUGCAUGUACGCUUUUCGGAGUGCAGCGCAACUACUACUGUACUAUGACUAGUACGAGUGUAUGGUGUCAAGUGCACUCAUCGAUCCGUGCGCAGGCCGGAACUGUGCCCGCUCGCGCUGUUAUGAAACAGACUAGACAGUGAGUUAGUCAUGUGUAGUGACAUGCACAGUACUGAGUAGGCAAGUUCACUGCACGUAGCCUGGCAUGACCUCGGGGCAUUUCACACGUCUGGAUGAAUGAUUGCGGCUUGAACUAGUCAGAGCUGUGCCGCGUAGAUCUACCACCACUCAUGAAACACUCCAGUUCAACGGGUUUUACGGACCCCUGCAUGCAGCGCAGGGGUCCGUACAACCCUCUGAACUAGCGCCUGGCGGGUCCGAGUAGCAAGAUAGACCGCAGUCUGACAUAGACUAGUAGUUCUGGUAGUUCUGCUAGUGCAUGCGUUGCAAGUAAAUGCACCCAAAUGGCGCUUUCGUCCUCUUACUCUUAGAAUAAAAGGCCAAUUGGUCAACUGGAGUUGAUCAUACCAGUUGUUUUCUUUCCUUGCGACAUGAUCCCUUGCUGGUGAUCUCCUGCUGCUGCUAGCAGUAGAAAUGUCGAAAGGGAACAGUGUGCAGUUGUCCACUUUCCUCAGCUGGAAAGUAGAUGAGGACAUAGGCUUCAACUCGGUGAAGAAGGAAGGUAAAGAGCUGGUCGUGAAAGUGUGGUGCAAGUCGUGUGCGAAGUAUUCUGACGUUAUCCGGAGCGACUCUAUGGCUGAGAGGUCAAGCGAAGGUCGAUGCGUUGAGGUUUGUGGAGGGAUCGGACUACGUGACGAAGCACGCUGUCACUCGACAUUUGUCUGGACAGGCGCAUAGCAUCGGAGUGAGCCAUGCGAAGCUAUUGGGUGACACCGACAAAUCAUCGUCGACGUCUGCAUCAGGGAGCAAGGCAACACAAGCGCCUCAGCAGCCACGCAUCCACACAGCUAUUCUAGUCCAAGCGGAGGAUGCAUACGAAAAGCUCUUCCACACUGCAUAUUUAAUGGCAGUUCACGGCCAACCGCUGUCAUCUUUCAAGACAAUGGUGGAAAUUCAGAAAGCAUCCAGAAUUUUUUCUCGAAAAAACUGAUAUCAAUAAUGUGCUGUGUUGUUGGAGUGAGAAUUUUUGGAUCACUCUCCUACAGCUCGCCUGACACAGGCGAGGAGAGCGAUAGAUCACUCGCCACCUAUUUUCAAAUCACAGG